AACGAACGCUGGCGGCAUGCCUAACACAUGCAAGUCGAACGAGACCGUCGGGUCUAGUGGCGCACGGGUGCGUAACGCGUGGUAACCUGCCCUUAGGUUCGGUAUAACUCCCCGAAAGGGGUGCUAAUACCGGAUAAUGUCUUCGGACCAAAGAUUUAUCGCCUUUGGAUGGGCGCGCGUUGGAUUAGCUGGUUGGUAGGGUAAAAGCAUACCAAGGGGACGAUGCAUAGCUGGUGUGAGAGGAUGAUAAGCCACACUGGGACUGAGACACGGCCCAGACUCGUACGGGAGGGAGCAGUGGGGAAUAUUGGACGAUGGGCGAAAGCCUGAUCCAGCAAUGCCGGGUGAGUGAUGAAGGCCUUAGGGUUGUAAAGCUCUUUUAGACGGGAUGAUAAUGACAGUACCGGGAGAAUAAGCUCCGGCUAACUACGUG
rnacentral:rRNA from 1 species